rnacentral:ncRNA from 1 species
AUUUUUGUGAAUUAAAUAAUAAACUUAAAUUGGAUUCAAAUAUGUUAGAUGUGACAGUCGGGCAAAUAAUGCAUAAGAAUGGAACAAUAAUUGGAAAUGACCGUCAAUAAUCCCCCGUAGUCGGAGGGAUUCACGUCUGAUUAGCUAGUUUGAGCUAGUUUGUAAGGUAAUAGAUUCCUAACGUGAUGAUCAGUAGCUCCGAAUGGAUAAUCAACUAUGCUGGGACUGAGACACGAUCCAAAUUUCUAUGGGGCAACAGUGAGGAAAUUUCUAUAAUGGGCGAAAAAGAAGCAACAACAUUAUUUGGGAAAUAAGCAUCGGCUAACGCUAUGCCAGCAGUCGCCGUAAUAUUGAGGAUGAAAGUGUUAUCGAGAAUUACUAGAUGUAAAGCAUUUUUGGAUGGUUUUUUAAGUCCGUCAUCAAGUCUCGAGGCUCAACCCUGGACUGGUAUAGGGAAUUUCCGCUUGAUCGGUGAAAUGCGUUGUGAUCGGAAAAUAUAGCGAAAACACUUGCUUGGUUGACACUAACACUGAGAGGUGAAAGCUAGGGUAGUGAAUGGGUUAGAUACCAUAGUAAUCCUAGCCGUAAGCGAUGGAUACAAGACUCUAUGCAUAUCAACCUAUGCGCUGUUGUAGUUAACGGAUUAAGUAUCCCGCU